AGAGGCCGGACCUGGGCAACCCCAGCCUGGAGGUGCCGGGGCCGGAGCUCCCAGAGGGCUGGGUGCGAGGCCUAGGCGGGGUCAGGUUCGGGUUCCUAGGCCAUAGCGGAGCUGCAGCCCAGGCGGCCGGAGCGGAACCCAGCCCCGCUCCGAGUGCCACGUCUCCAGGAACCCCCUCCUUACUCUUGGACAACACUCCGCCCCCGCCCGGGCCUCCGUCCCCCAAACCGCCCUCAUUUGUGCAGCGCCAGAUCCUUCGGACACAUCCCUAGGUGUCUCCAUCCUCAUUCGGUCCAUCCAACUCCCAGACCUCACGUCAACCGGCUGCACCCCACUUUCCAGCCUGCGCCCCAGAUCUGCAGCCUUCGCCCCUAGAUACACCCGCCUGGUGAUGAGGCGCUCCUCGCGUUCCUUCCGGUAACCGCGUUGCGAAGACCACGCUGCCGGGUUGCAAACUUGGGGGGACUUCCUCCCUCCCCUCCCCCUGGGCGCCGUGCAACUGCCCUGGGACCGGGUUCUGGGAUGAGGGGGGCAGACCGGGCUCCCCAGCGGCCGGCGCAGCACGUAGCGCACGUGUAGGGUCCGCUCCCCACCCCCUCGCCGCCUCUGACAACUUUUCAGGGCUCCAGGUGUCCGUGAGCCUCCCUUCCGCCCUGGCCUCCGGUCUCUGCCUUGCUCGUGCUUCUACCACCACCCUUCCCCUCCCAACCCGGUGGAUCCUCUCGUCUCCCCCAGUCUCCAGUGCACCGGCUUUCCCUCGUCCUCUGCGCAGUCCAUCUCAGCUCAUCUCUCCAAUUCAAUGCCAUCAUCUCUCCUCACCAUCUCUCGGUGCCCUGGAAUGUUUGCUGUCAGAUGUCCCCUGUGAAACCCACAAACGCUUGCGAUUUGGCCUCCUUGUUUUAUUUUGUGUAGUCCUACAACGUCUUGUUACUACCCCCUAUUACAACACUUAUAACUCAGUAUUUGUCUUUUUUCCGCGGUGUCCCUGCACUCUCCCCAUACAUAUUCCUCUCCUGCCAGAUUGUAAGCCUCUAGAGGGAAGAAGUAAUGUCUCUCUCCUUGGCACCAGGCACGUGGCACACGCUCCACAAAUAUUUGUUGAAAGGGAGGGUAAAUGGCCUUGAGUUUCUGUGGCUACCAUUGGCUGAGGAUGGAGCUUUGGGCUGGACAAAGAAGAAUCUGGUUGACCACAUGAAGCAGGAAGGAGGCUCAGAACGGUGUUGAGGGAGCCUCCACAAUGGGAACCGUAUCCUGACGCAGACGCGAUGCGGUGUUCCAUCAGGAAAUGCUUCAUACUCUCAGUGGGCAUCGUAUUCCUGUGGCCCUUCAUCACUUUGAAAAUCCCCAAGGAAACUGAAGAUGAUCAAAAUGUGAUGACUGUCAAAGGCCAAGUAGCAAGCCUUGAGCCUUGCUCAGUUUGGGAACUGGGAAUAUAGGGUGGAAAUGGUGUGGACAGGCAGAUUCUGGAAAGCCCCUGGGCUUUCUUCCUUCCUGACCUUUUCACCUGAGAGCAGGAAGCUCCAAAGGGAAUGGGGGUAUGGACCUGGGCCUAUUAGUCCAUGAAGAAGCUGUAUUUAUUUUCCUUAUUCGUUAAGGUAAAGAAGACAGCAAAUACUGCUUGAGCCCUGGAUAUUUUAGCCAAUGGCCAGGCAUCCUGAGAAUGUGCCAGGCUCACUCUAGGGAGAAUGGUUCACUCCACCUCUUUCCCUAGAAAAGCUUAUGGGAAGCCACUGGGGUGUAAAAUUUGUUCUUUUUAUGAAAGGAUAUAUAUGUUUGCCCUUGUCAAUGCCCCCGGAGGCCAGUUAUAACAGCCGGAAGGACCCAAGAUCACUAGAAGACUGGCAGAACCUCACCUUCAAAUAUAUGGAAAAAAUCCAGAAGAGAAGAAAGACAUGGCUGACAGUGGGGAAUCUCAUCAGUGCAGCAAGGGGAUGGAAGCAGCCUCUUGUACACAUUGGUCUCCCUGUUCCGUGUUUCUUCUAAGGCUGAGCAGAAACGUCUCACGGUGCUGGUCCACCUGGCAGAUUCUGACCUCACCUGGCUCAGAGAAACUCUUGCCCAUAUUUCAAGCCUCUUCAGCCCACAGAUCUUGAAAGGGCAGUUGCUACUGAUCCAUGCUUCAUCCGAUGCCUACCCCACUGUGGAGAGCAUCAGGGAUGAGGCCUUUCAUGGCGAAUUCUACUCCAAGCAGAACGUAGAUCAUGCCUUCCUCAUGAGCUUUGCCACAAAGUUCUCUGAUUACUUCCUGUUAAUAGAGGACAAUGUCUUUUUUGCCCCCAACUUUGUCACCCACAUUCAUUCAAGGGUGACCACCAUGAAGUCCAACUCGUGGGUGCUAAUGGAGUUCUCCAAUAUGGGCUUCCUUGGCAAACUCUUCCACAGCAGGGACCUCCCACUCCUGGCCCAUUUCCUCCUUCUCUUCUACAAGGAGAAACCCCUUGACAGCCUGAUUUCUCAUUUCCAUACGCUCCUGGUCCAGGAAAGCCCAAUCCUCUGCAGACCUUUCCUAUUCUACUGCAGGGUCUCCUACACUGCCUUUGAUCACAAGCAGAAGGCCACAGCACUUCAGAAAAAGAAUGCCGAUGGUCCCAACAACCCGCCUGGAGCUGUCUUCACUGAUAUGCAGGUUUCCGAUGUGCAUUUCCCCUGGGAGGCCUACACUCUGGAUGAGUCAUUCUUUUGGACACACAACAUUAGUAUAGGAAACCACCUGACAGUGAUUCUGAACCAUCCAGCAAACCUGAGCAGGGUGCAAGUGAUGACGGGCUCCAUUGUGGAAUGGGAGGUACGCCCUGGAGAAGGGGCAGGUGGAGCUGGGCUACCAACCUGAGGGGGUGCCGCAGCACUGCACCAGCUUCGCCUUGCUGGGACAUCUUUCGGAGGGGCAGAUGGAUCAGAAGAUACUUCUGAAAGGUAUGGGGUACCACGUGAGCUGUGUGAGGCUGGUGGUGAAAGCUGGUCAGGCUGGGGGGCUCAUGAUCAGGCAUAUCUACCUCUGGGAGAAAAAUGACAAAUAGCAAGUGGAUCAAUGCUGAAGAUAAAUCAGUAGGGGGAUGAAAAAUUAAAAUCUUAAAGCCACUUCAUUCUAGUCUAUAUGAGUGACAUAGGGGAGACACAAUGGAAUGAAGGGCAGACAGAGAAGACUAUCAGUCUGUUGGUGCCGCCAAGAUGUCAGGAGACUUGUUGCUUCCUUUCUAUCCAAACAACUCUCAUAGGAUAUCUUUUGCUGUGGCAUAUAUAGCUUAUCCGAAUUUGGGGAGAGUUUUGGUCACUCCCAAAAUAUUUAGAUACCUGGGAUGCUGAGAUCAGCCCAAAUCAAGGUGUCCCUGUGUAUACAUGCGUGUGCAUGUAUGCACUUCUAUGUUCACACGGAGGCAGAGGUGGGGAUGAGGUAUGUGGUCACAGGAGGGCAGGCAGGAAAAUCACGGCUGAAUCCCUAGAAUUGACAUCAUAAAAAGCCAUGAAAGGGACUCUCAUUAGAAGUUAAAAUCUCCGAAGUGCAGGAAAGUAGCAGAUGGACAAAUAGCAAUAAAACGAAUCCCUUAGCUCUAUUAUUGAAGCUGUUUCACAGUGCCAAUCUAGUUCCCUCCUUUCCUCCCCAACAAACUUGGGCACAAAUAGGUUUUAACUAGGCUGGGUAUGGUGGCUCAUGCCAGUAAUUGCAGCCUCCCUUAGGAGGCUGAGGUGGGAGGAUCUCUUGAGGCCAGCAGUUCAAGACCAACCUAGGCAACACGGCAAGACCCUGUCUCCACAAAAAAUUAAAAAGUUAGCCAGGUUGUGGUGGCAUGUGCCUGUGGUCCUAGCUACUCAGGAGGCUGAGGCAGGAGGAUCACUUGAGCCCAGGAGGUUGAGGCUGCAGUGAGCCAUGAUUAUGCCAUUACACUCCAGCCUGGGCAACAGCGUAAGACCCUGUCUCCAAAAAAAAAAAAAAAAAGUUUGUAACUAAAGCUUCACUCAUCAGCAAUUCAUUCCUUAACUCUGGUUUCUGUGUCCACACUGGCCUCUGCAUCCACAAUGCUACUGAAACUCUUCCCUAUUUGUCAUGACGAGAAUAGUCAAAACCCAGUGACUUUUUCAGAUCUCAUUCUCCCUAACUUUCUGCAGCAAUACACAGUUCUAAUUAUGUCUUCCUUCUCAAAAUUGUCCUCUUCCUUUACUUCUGGGACUCAUCAGAUAUUUAUUGAGUGCCUACUACAUGCCAGGCACAAAAAAAGCUCCUAUCUGUGAAGAGGGUUUUUAUGGGAGUAAGAUAUACACAGGUGUGUUAAGCAUCACAUUGAGGUUAAGUACAGGGUCCUUGGGAGCACAGAAUUGCUGUUCCCAAAACAUUCUUGAGGAUUUAGGAAAGGCUUUCUGGAAGAUGUAACAUCUAAGCCUAGACCUGCCAGAUCAUUAGAGAAAAUAGCCAAGUGAUAUGGGAAGAGAGGCAGGGAGACUUUCCAGUAGAAGAAGCAGCAUGCGGUGAAGUGGGCCAAAGGUGAGACAGAGUAAAUCAUUUAGUGAAUCUGGAGAUGGAGGGCAAGCCUGGGUGAGGGUAACGCAGAAGAUGAAGCCACAGGACUAAGAAAGGGCCAGCUUAAGAAGGUCAAAGGAGGUCAGGCGCAGUAGCUCAUGCCUGUAAUCCCAGCACUUGGGAGGCCGAGGUGGGUGGAUUGCUUGAGUCCAGGAGUUCAAGACCAGCCUGGACAACAUAGUGAAAACCUGUCUCUACAAAAAAAAAAAAAAAAAAUAGCCAGGCUUGAUGUCAUGUACCUGUAAUCCCCACUACUCAGGAGGCUGAGGCGGGAGAAUCGCUUAAGCAUGGGAGGUGGAGGUCUGCAGAGCCCAAUCCUCUGCAGACAUUUCCUCUUCUACCGCAGGGUCUCCUACACCACCUUUGAUCACAAGCAGAAGGCCACAUCUUGCUGUGAGCCAAGAUUGCGCCACUGUACUCUAGCCUGGGUGAUAGAGUGAGACCCUGUCUAAAAAAAUAAAUAAGUAAAAAGAAGGGCCAUAGAUAAUCAAGUGGCAGAAAGAAUUGUCUUUUCAACAAAUGGUGUUGGAACAACUGAAUAUCUACCUGCAAAAGAAUGAAGUUGGGCUAGGCCUGGUGGCUCACACCUGUAAUCCCAGCACUUUGGGAUGCCAAGGUGGAAGGAUUGCCUGAGCCCAGGAGUUCGAGACCAGCCUGGGCAACAUGACAAGACCUAGUCUCCGAAAAAAAAAAAAAGAGGCCGGGCGUGGUGGCUCCCGCCUGUAAUCCCAGCACCUUGGGAGGCUGAGGCAGGCGGAUCACCUGAGGUCAGGAGUUCUAGACCAGCCUCAACAUGGAGAAACCCCGUCUCUACUAAAAAUACAAAAUUAGCCAGGCGUGGUGGUGCAUACUUGGGAGGCUGAGGCAGGAGAAUAGCUUGAACCUGGGAGGCAGAGGUUGUGGUGAGCCAAGAUCACGCCAUUGCACUCCAGCCUGGGCAAAAAGAGCGAAACUCCGUCUCAAAAAAAAAAAAAAAAAAGAAAAAGAAAAAUUAAAUUAAAAAAAAAAGAAUGAAUUUGGACCCCUAACUCACAUCAUAUAAAAAAUAAGGCUGGACAUGGUGGCUCACGCCUGUAAUCCCAACACUCUGGGAGGCUGAGGCAGGUGGAUCACCUGAGGUCAGGAGUUCAAGACCAGCCUGGCCAACAUGGUAAAACUCUGUCUCUACCAAAAAUACAAAAAAUAGCCAGGUAUGGUGGCAUGUGCCUGUAAUCCUAGCUACUCAGGAGGCUGGGGUAGGAGGAUCCCUUGAACCCAGAAGGUGGAGGUUGAAGUGCACCGAGAUCAGGCCACUGCACUCCAGCCUGGGAGACAGAGCAAGACUCCAUCCCCCUCAAAAUAAUUAACAUAAAAAAGCAUUAUAGACCUAAAUGUAAGAACUAAAACUAUAAAAUUCUUAGAUGAAAACAAAAAUAUCAAUCGUGAUCUUGGAUUAGGCAAGUUUCUUAGAUAUGACACCAGAACACAAGCACUCAAAGAAUAGAUAAAUCAGACUUCAACAAAUUAAAAUUUUUUGUGUGCUUCAAAGCAACUAUUAAAGUGAAAAGACAACAAACAGCAUGGAAAAAAAAUUUGCAAAUCAUGUAUCUGAUAAGAGACUGGUAUCCAGAAUAUAGAAAGAAUUAUUUAUUUAUUUAUUUAUUUAUUUAUUUAUUUAUUUAUUUAUUUGUUUUUGAGAUGGAGUCUCGCUCUGUUGCCAGGCUGGAGUGCAGUAGCGCGAUCUCUGCUCACUGCAACCUCUGCCUCCCAGUUUCAAGCGAUUCUCCUACCUCAGCUUCCCGAGUAGCUGGGACUACAGGCGCGCAACACCACGCUCGGCUAAUUUUUGUAUUUUUAGUAGAAACAGGGUUUCACCAUGUUGGCCAGGAUGGUCUCAAUCUCUUGACCUCGUGAUCCGCCCACCUCGGCCUCCCAAAGUGCUGGGAUUACAGGUGUGAGCCACCGCGUCCAGCCACAGAAAGAAUUCUUACAACUCAAUGAUAAAAAGACAAAUAACCCACUGUAAAAAUGGGCUAACGGAUUUCUCCAAAGACAACAUACCAGUGGCCAAUAAGCACAUGAAAAGAUUUCAUCAUCAGUCAUUAGGGAAAUGCAAAUCAAAACCACAAAUGAAAUACCACUUCACACCCACCAGGAUGGCUAUUUUUUUUUUUUUUUUUUUUUGAGACAGAGUCUUGCUCUGUCACCCAGGCUGGAGUGCAAUGGCAUGAUCUUGGCUCACUACAACCUCUGCCUUCUGGGUUCAAGCAAUUCUCCUGCCUCAGCUGCCUGAGUAGCUGGGAAUAUAGGCACUCGCCACCACGCCCAGCUAAUUUUUUGUAUUUUUAGUAGAGAUGGGGUUUCACUAUGUUGGCCAGGCUGAUCUCAAACUCCUGACCUCAUGAUCCACCUGCCUUGGUCUCCCAAAGUGCUGGGGGUCCAAAUUCAUUCUUUUUUUUUUUAAUUUAAUUUUUCUUUCCCUUUUUUUUUUUUUUUUUUUGAGACGGAGUUUCGCUCUUGUUGCCCAGGCUGGAGUGCAAUGGCGCGAUCUCGGCUCACCACAACCUCUGCCUCCUAGGUUCAAGCUAUUCUCCUGCCUCAGCCUCCCAAGUAUGCACCACCAUGCCUGGCUAAUUUUGUAUUUUCAGUAGAGAUGGGGUUUCUCCAUGUUGAGGCUGGUCUAGAACUCCUGACCUCGGGUGAUCCGCCCACCUCGGCCUCCCAAAGUGCUGGGAUUACAGGCGUGAACCACCGCGCCUGGCCUCCUUUUUUUUUUUUUUUUGGAGACUAGGUCUUGUCAUGUUGCCCAGGCUGGUCUCGAAUUCCUGGGCUCAGGCAAUCCUUCCACCUUGGCAUCCCAAAGUGCUGGGAUUACAGGUGUGAGCCACCAUGCCUGGGUGGCUAUAAUUUUUUUUUAAAGGAAAAUAAAUGUUGUCUAGGAUGUGGAGAAAUUAGAACCCUCAUACAUGCUGCUGGGGUUGUAAAAUGGUGCAACCACUUUGGAAAAGCAUUUAGCAGUUCUUCAAAAUAUUAGAAUUGCCAUAUUAUCAAGCAAUUCCACUCCCAGGUACAUACUCAAGAGAAUGAAAACAUAUAUUCACACAAAGGCUUAUACAUGAAUGUUCAUACCAUCAUUAUUAUAAACAAAGCAUGGUAACAAUGAACAUGUCCACCAACUGAUGGAUGGGUAAGGAAAAUGUAGUACCUUCAUACAGUGAAAUAUUAUUCAGCAAUAAAAAAGAAUGAAGCACAGAUACAUACACAUAUGAACCUUAAAAACAUUCUGCUACAUGAAAUAAGCGAGUCACAAAAGGCUACAUAUUGUAUGAUUCAUUGAUAUGAAGUAUCCAGAAUACACAAAUCCAUAGAAACAGGAAGUAGAUUGGUGGCCAGGGGCUGGGGAAAGGGGAAUGGGAAAUGACUGCUAACAGGUGUGGGGUUUCUUUUUGGAAUGAUGAUAAUGUUCUGAAAUUGACUGUGGUGAUUGUUGCACUACUCUGUUAAUAUGCUAAAAACCAUUAAAUUUGAACUUGGAAAAGAAUGAAUUUUGUGGUAUGUGAAUUAUAUCUCAAAAAAAGUUAUUUAAAAAACAAACCAGCCAGGAACAGUGCCUCACACUUGUAGUCUCAGCAACUCAGGAGGCUGAAGUGGGAGGAUCAC
rnacentral:lncRNA from 1 species